AUUGAACGCUGGCGGAAUGCUUUACACAUGUAAGUCGAACGGCAGCACGGGGGCAGCCCUGGUGGCGAGUGGCGAACGGGUGAGUAAUACAUCGGAACGUGCCCGGUCGUGGGGGAUAACGUAGCGAAAGUUACGCUAAUACCGCAUACGAUCUGAGGAUGAAAGCGGGGGACCUUCGGGCCUCGCGCGAUCGGAGCGGCCGAUGUCAGAUUAGGUAGUUGGUGGGGUAAAGGCCUACCAAGCCGACGAUCUGUAGCUGGUCUGAGAGGACGACCAGCCACACUGGGACUGAGACACGGCCCAGACUCCUACGGGAGGCAGCAGUGGGGAAUUUUGGACAAUGGGCGCAAGCCUGAUCCAGCCAUUCCGCGUGCAGGACGAAGGCCUUCGGGUUGUAAACUGCUUUUGUACGGAACGAAAAGGCUCUGGCUAAUACCUGGGGCCCAUGACGGUACCGUAAGAAUAAGCACCGGCUAACUACGUG
rnacentral:rRNA from 1 species